UGGCAAAAAGCACUGAGGGGUGUACAUAGUUUCGGCCUAUGGGGGGGACGUACGGUUCUUUGCUUA
rnacentral:tRNA from 1 species